CGCGGUACGAACAACAUCGAACCAGAGCCCUGAAGAUGGAGCAUGCAAGUUUUUCGAAACGUUGGCGAACCAGUCAAGAUAUCCAAAUGGGAGUAACCGCAAGGCGUGUAAACAGUGUAAAAUGGACGCCAAAAACAUAGAUCCGGAUACAGCAGACCAUCCAGCGGCUCGGUCGACAUCUCGGUAAAUUCCCUCGGUGUGCGCCAGGAUACGACGAACAAGACAAAACUGUUAGAACCUUAGGCUUGACACCGGAAUAGCCUUUUGUGUUGCUUGUAUAUGUACCAAGUUGAAAGCGACAUCGGAGAUUCCUAACUUACUUCAAAAUUCUUCGAGUUUCCUACUAUUUAUUAAACUGUUGCUUAACCCUCUACUCUCCACUUCACUCGAAUAUGUCAUGUUUUAGUUAUGUGUUCUAUAACGUUUUUGGACGCCGUUUCUGUUGUAACAAUAUUACACUCAAUACAUGCAGUAGCAGAUCUAGGAAUGAAAAAAAGGAGAAACUGGAAACAAAGUCCCUUAAAAUACAUACAAGCAAUAGUCAUAAAG